CGGCCGCGUCGACGGCGGACGGGUGAGUAACGCGUGGGUAACCUGCCUUGUACAGGGGGAUAACAGUCAGAAAUGGCUGCUAAUACCGCAUAAGCGCACAGAGCUGCAUGGCUCAGUGUGAAAACUCCGGUGGUAUAAGAUGGACCCGCGUUGGAUUAUCUAGUUGGUGGGGUAACGGCUCACCAAGGCGACGAUCCAUAGCCGGCCUGAGAGGGUGAACGGCCACAUUGGGACUGAGACACGGCCCAGACUCCUACGGGAGGCAGCAGUGGGGAAUCUUCGGCAAUGGAC
rnacentral:rRNA from 1 species